rnacentral:rRNA from 1 species
CCUACGGGAGGCAGCAGUGAGGAAUAUUGGUCAAUGGACGCAAGUCUGAACCAGCCAUGCCGCGUGCAGGAAGACGGCUCUAUGAGUUGUAAACUGCUUUUGUACGAGGGUAAACGCAGAUACGCGUAUCUGUCUGAAAGUACCGUACGAAUAAGGAUCGGCUAACUCCGUGCCAGCAGCCGCGGUAAUACGGAGGAUUCAAGCGUUAUCCGGAUUUAUUGGGUUUAAAGGGUGCGUAGGCGGUCGGAUAAGUUAGAGGUGAAAUCCCGGGGCUCAACUUCGGAAUUGCCUCUGAUACUGGUCGGCGAGAGAGUAGUUGCGGUAGGCGGAAUGUAUGGUGUAGCGGUGAAAUGCUUAGAGAUCAUACAGAACACCGAUUGCGAAGGCAGCUUACCAAGCUACUUCUGACGUUGAGGCACGAAAGCGUGGGGAGCAAACAGGAUUAGAUACCCCAGUAGUC